GCAAGUUCCGGGCCAGCGGGCGGGGUAAUGCGGAAGGUCCGGGCGUUGUCCGGAUUGAUGGGGUUUAAAGGGAGCGUGGGCUGCCGGUUAAGUGUGUUGUGAAAUGCAGGCGCUAAACGUCUGCCUUGCAGCGCAUACUGUCCGGCUUGAGUACGCACAACGUUGGCGGAAUUCGUCGUGUAGCGGUGAAAUGCUUAGAUAUGACGAAGAACUCCGAUUGCGAAGGCAGCUGACGGGAGCGUUACUGACGCUGAAGCUCGAAAGUGCGGGUAUCGAACAGGAUUAGAUACCCCGGUAGUC
rnacentral:rRNA from 1 species